rnacentral:miRNA from 1 species
GCAACGACAACCAACAAA